rnacentral:lncRNA from 1 species
AACCUUAGUAACGUUCUCUCAGCACCUCCUCCAUUGGCUCUGGAUGCGUCCUCAUUUGCCUGCUUCUAGAUUCACAGACAGAGCUCUGUAGGACUGUGGUAUCCUCGACUAGCGAGUGCCUUCUGAUAGAGAACGGAAGACUCUCCAGGGGAGAGAGAAGAGGCCUCUUCAGUAGAACAAGCACACAAGCAGCAAAUUCAGGUAGAUACAGGGACUGGUGCUGUGGCAUAGUGGGUAAGGCCGCAGCCUGCAGUGGCAGCAUCCAAUAUGGGCACCAGUUCAAGUCCCAGCUGCUCCACUUUCGAUCCAGCUCUCUAUUAUGGCCUGGCAAGCAGUGGAAGAUGGCCCAAGUCCUUGGGACCAUGUGCCCACAUGGGAGACCUAGAAGAAUAUCCUGGUUCCUGGCUUCAGAUUGGCCCAGUUCCAGCAGCUGUGGCAAUUUGCGAAGUGAACCUCUCUCUCUCUCUCUCUCUCCCUCCUUCUGCCUCUCUGUAACUCUGCCUUUCAAAUAAAUAAAUAUUUUUUAAAAAAUAUUUUUAAUGGAAAUGUUUUUUAAAAAGAUAUAAUAAGCAAUUUAUAUAAUAAGCCAUUUUCUACCCAAGAUUAACUAAGUAUUAAGCCAUCAUUUUUUCUCAUUUUUUAUGGAUUGCAAUCUUACAUUUACAUAGCUCAUUUAAAAAUUUUAGUACAAAAUGUGUGUUUGUGUGUGGAGGGGAGCUAACUUGUUUAUUCAGAAGUAGCAAAAUUUCUCAAUACAAUUUUCUAAGGAAUCUACCCCAUUACAAAUUAUUUCAAAUGGGGGCUGGCACUGUGGCGCAGUGAGUUAAUGCCCUGGCCUGAAGCAUCAGCAUCCCAUAUGGGCACCGGUUCUAGUCCUAGCUGCUCCUCUUCCAAUCCAGCUCUCUACUAUGGUGUGGGAAAGCAGUAGAAGAUGGAUCAAGUCCUUGGGCCCGUGCACCCACGUGGGAGACCCGGAAGAAGCUCCUGGCUCCUGGCUUCGGAUUGGUGAAUUUCCAGCCAUUGUGGCCAACUGGGGAGUGAACCAUCAGAUGGAAGACCUCUCUCUCUUUCUCUCUCUCUGACUCUCUGCCUCUCCUCUCUCUUGUAACUCUGAAUAAAUAAAAUAAAUAAAAUCUUUAAAAAAAACCA